rnacentral:rRNA from 1 species
CAAUAGCGUAUAUUAAAGCUGUUGCGGUUAAAAAGCUCGUAGUUGGAUUUCUGUCAAGUACAACUGGUCCGCCCUCCGGGUGAGCACAUAGUUUGGUCUUGGCAUCUUGCUGGAAAUUGUUGCUGCACUUGGCUGUGUGGCGCAGUGUCCAGCACUUUCACUUUGAGGAAAUUGGAGUGUUUCAAGCAGGCAAUGCCUUUGAACACAGUAGCAUGGAAUAAUUAGAUUGGGCUUUUGCUCCAAUUUGUCGGUUUCUGGAGCUGAGGUGAGAAUUAAUGGGGAUUGUUGGGGGCAUCCGAAUUUAGCCGUCAGAGGUGAAAUUCUUGGAUCGGCUAAAGACGGACAACUGCGAAAGCGUCUGCCAAGGAUGUUUUCAUUGA